UACGGAGGAUGCGAGCGUUAUCCGGAUUUAUUGGGUUUAAAGGGUGCGUAGGCGGACUGUUAAGUCAGCGGUAAAAGCCCGGGGCUCAACCCCGGCGAGCCGUUGAAACUGGCUGUCUUGAGAUGUCGAGAGGUAUGCGGAAUGCGCAGUGUAGCGGUGAAAUGCAUAGAUAUAACUUAGAACACCGAUAGCGAAGGCAGCUUACCAGACUGAGUCUGACGCUGAUGCACGAGAGCAUGGGCAGCGAACAGG
rnacentral:rRNA from 1 species